rnacentral:rRNA from 1 species
UGGGAACGCGAAGAACCUUACCUAGACUUGACAUCUCCUGAAUUACUCGUAACUGAGGAAAUCCCUUCGGGGACAGGAAGACAGGUGGUGCAUGGUUGUCGUCAGCUCGUGUCGUGAGAUGUUGGGUUAAGUCCCGCAACGAGCGCAACCCUUAUCAUUAGUUACUAACAUUAAGUUGAGCACUCUAAUGAGACUGCCUGGGUUAACCAGGAGGAAGGUGGGGAUGACGUCAAAUCAUCAUGCCCCGUUAUGUCUAGGGCUACACACGUGCUACAAUGGUGGGGUACAAAAACGAUGCGAAACCGUAAGGUUGAGCCAAACUCAAAACCCCGAUCCCAGUUCGGAUUGUAGGCUGAAACUCGCCUACAUGAAGCCGGAGUUGCUAGUAAUCGCGAAUCAGAAUGUCGCGGUGGAUACGU